AAAAAAGUCGGCGAUGGAGUUCGCCGUUGACUGCUUCCCCAAACGAAGCUGAUGACUCCUACUCUUUA
rnacentral:ncRNA from 2 species